AGUGGACGCUGGCGGUAGGCCUAACACAUGCAAGUCGAACGGCAGCACAGUAAGAGCUUGCUCUUACGGGUGGCGAGUGGCGGACGGGUGAGGAAUACAUCGGAAUCUACUUUUUCGUGGGGGAUAACGUAGGGAAACUUACGCUAAUACCGCAUACGACCUACGGGUGAAAGCAGGGGAUCUUCGGACCUUGCGCGAUUGCAUGAGCCGAUGUCGGAUUAGCUAGUUGGCGGGGUAAAGGCCCACCAAGGCGACGAUCCGUAGCUGGUCUGAGAGGAUGAUCAGCCACACUGGAACUGAGACACGGUCCAGACUCCUACGGGAGGCAGCAGUGGGGAAUAUUGGACAAUGGGCGCAAGCCUGAUCCAGCCAUACCGCGUGGGUGAAGAAGGCCUUCGGGUUGUAAAGCCCUUUUGUUGGGAAAGAAAAGCAGCAGGUUAAUACCCCGCUGUUCUGACGGUACCCAAAGAAUAAGCACCGGCUAACUUCGUG
rnacentral:rRNA from 1 species